rnacentral:rRNA from 1 species
AUACGGAGGGUGCGAGCGUUAAUCGGAAUUACUGGGCGUAAAGCGUGCGUGGCGGUUUGUUAAGUCAGAAGUGAAAGCCCUGGGCUCAACCUGGGAACGGCUUUUGAGACUGGCAGACUCGAGUUGAGUAGAGGGGAGUGGAAUUUCCGGUGUAGCGGUGAAAUGCGUAGAGAUCGGAAGGAACACCAGUGGCGAAGGCGACUCCCUGGACUCAAACUGACGCUGAGGUACGAAAGCGUGGGUAGCAAACAGGAUUAGAUACCCUAGUAGUCC